UAGAGUUUGAUCCUGGCUCAGAUUGAACGCUGGCGGCAUGCUUUACACAUGCAAGUCGAACGGCAGCGCGGGCUUCGGCCUGGCGGCGAGUGGCGAACGGGUGAGUAAUAUAUCGGAACGUACCCAAGAGUGGGGGAUAACGUAGCGAAAGUUACGCUAAUACCGCAUACGAUCCAAGGAUGAAAGCAGGGGACCGCAAGGCCUUGUGCUCCUGGAGCGGCCGAUAUCUGAUUAGCUAGUUGGUGAGGUAAAGGCUCACCAAGGCAACGAUCAGUAGCUGGUCUGAGAGGACGACCAGCCACACUGGAACUGAGACACGGUCCAGACUCCUACGGGAGGCAGCAGUGGGGAAUUUUGGACAAUGGGGGCAACCCUGAUCCAGCAAUGCCGCGUGAGUGAAGAAGGCCUUCGGGUUGUAAAGCUCUUUUGUCAGGGAAGAAAAGGGAGUGGCUAAUAUCCAUUCCUGCUGACGGUACCUGAAGAAUAAGCACCGGCUAACUACGUGCCAACAGCCGCGGUAAUACGUAGGGUGCAAGCGUUAAUCGGAAUUACUGGGCGUAAAGCGUGCGCAGGCGGUUUUGUAAGACAGGCGUGAAAUCCCCGAGCUCAACUUGGGAAUGGCGCUUGUGACUGCAAGGCUAGAGUAUGUCAGAGGGGGGUAGAAUUCCACGUGUAGCAGUGAAAUGCGUAGAGAUGUGGAGGAAUACCGAUGGCGAAGGCAGCCCCCUGGGACGUCACUGACGCUCAUGCACGAAAGCGUGGGG
rnacentral:rRNA from 1 species